rnacentral:pre_miRNA from 1 species
AGCCUUGUGUAUCCGUGCUGAGAUUUCGUCGAACGCUAGACCACAAUGGCUGAUGAGACUCGUAUGAUAACUGAAGCG